rnacentral:rRNA from 1 species
GACGUAGGGCGCGAGCGUUGUCCGGAUUUAUUGGGCGUAAAGAGCUCGUAGGCGGCUUGUCGCGUCGACUGUGAAAACCCGCGGCUCAACUGUGGGCGUGCGGGCGAUACGGGCAGACUGGAGUACUGCAGGGGAGACUGGAAUUCCUGGUGUAGCGGUGAAAUGCGCAGAUAUCAGGAGGAACACCGGUGGCGAAGGCGGUUCUCUGGGCCUGUACUGACGCUGAGGAACGAAAGCGUGGGGAGCGAACAGG